rnacentral:rRNA from 1 species
CCUACGGGGGGCUGCAGUGAGGAAUAUUGGUCAAUGGCCGUAAGGCUGAACCAGCCAAGUCGCGUGAAGGAAGAAGGAUCUAUGGUUUGUAAACUUCUUUUAUAGGGGAAUAAAGGUAUCCACGUGUGGCUAUUUGCAUGUACCCUAUGAAUAAGCAUCGGCUAACUCCGUGCCAGCAGCCGCGGUAAUACGGAGGAUGCGAGCGUUAUCCGGAUUUAUUGGGUUUAAAGGGUGCGUAGGUUGUUUUUUAAGUCAGCGGUGAAAGUUUGUGGCUCAACCAUAAAAUUGACGUCGAAACUGGAAGACUUGAGUGUGUUUGAGGUAGGCGGAAUGCGUGGUGUAGCGGUGAAAUGCAUAGAUAUCACGCAGAACUCCGAUUGCGAAGGCAGCUUACUAAGCCAUAACUGACACUGAAGCACGAAAGCGUGGGGAUCAAACAGGAUUAGAUACCCCAGUAGUC